UGGGAAUAUUGGACAAUGGACCAAAAGUCUGAUCCAGCAAUUCUGUGUGCACGAUGAAGUUUUUCGGAAUGUAAAGUGCUUUCAGUUGGGACGAAGUAAGUGACGGUACCAACAGAAGAAGCGACGGCUAAAUACGUGCCAGCAGCCGCGGUAAUACGUAUGUCGCAAGCGUUAUCCGGAUUUAUUGGGCGUAAAGCGCGUCUAGGCGGUUUGGUAAGUCUGAUGUGAAAAUGCGGGGCUCAACUCCGUAUUGCGUUGGAAACUGUCAAACUAGAGUACUGGAGAGGUGGGCGGAACUACAAGUGUAGAGGUGAAAUGCGUAGAUAUUAGGAGGAACACCAGUGGCGAAGGCGGAUUGCUGGACGAUAACUGACGGUGAGGCGCGAAAGUGUGGGGAGCAAACAGGAUUAGAUACCCUGGUAGU
rnacentral:rRNA from 1 species